rnacentral:rRNA from 1 species
UACGGAGGGUGCAAGCGUUAUCCGGAUUCACUGGGUUUAAAGGGUGCGUAGGCGGGCAGGUAAGUCCGUGGUGAAAUCUCUGAGCUUAACUCAGAAACUGCCAUGGAUACUAUUUGUCUUGAAUAUUGUGGAGGUAAGCGGAAUAUGUCAUGUAGCGAUGAAAUGCUUAGAUAUGACAUAGAACACCAUUGCGAAGGCAGCUUACUACACAGUUAUUGACGCUGAGGCACGAAAGCGUGGGGAGCGAAACAGG